UACGGAGGGUGCAAGCGUUAAUCGGAAUUACUGGGCGUAAAGCGCACGUAGGUGGUUAUUUAAGUUGGCUGUGAAAGCCCAGGGCUUAACCUUGGAAUGCCAGCCAAGACUGGAUAACUAGAGUACAGUAGAGGGGUGUGGAAUUUCCGGUGUAGCGGUGAAAUGCGUAGAGAUCGGAAGGAACACCAGUGGCGAAGGCGGCACUCUGGACUGAUACUGACACUGAGGAGCGAAAGCGUGGGGAGCAAACAGG
rnacentral:misc_RNA from 1 species